rnacentral:rRNA from 1 species
UACGUAGGGUGCAAGCGUUGUCCGGAAUUAUUGGGCGUAAGAGCUCGUAGGCGGUCUGUCGCGUCUGCUGUGAAAACUCGGGGCUUAACCCCGGGCCUGCAGUGGGUACGGGCAGACUAGAGUGCGGUAGGGGAGACUGGAAUUCCUGGUGUAGCGGUGAAAUGCGCAGAUAUCAGGAGGAACACCGGUGGCGAAGGCGGGUCUCUGGGCCGUAACUGACGCUGAGGAGCGAAAGCAUGGGGAGCGAACAGG